rfam:Gossypium arboreum cultivar AKA8401 contig_1390_1, whole genome shotgun sequence.
UAUUAAAAAAAUUAUCCAUUUAUAUUGUUAAAAAUUGGUGUAACUGACAGACUAACCAGACAGUUACACUUAGCGUGCCACGUGUAUCUCAAUCUGAUGUACAUGGAUAAGUUUUUAAUAGUAAAAAUGGAUAAAAUUUUAAAUA